rnacentral:sRNA from 1 species
AAACUCCCCACCAAACUCCUCCCCACCCAGAGAACCCCCAGUCCUCCCCUUCCUCCUGAAGGCCUGAGGCUCCCUGUGACCCUUCCCCACCUCUCGCAGGUACGGGUUGAUGCGUGAGUGCUGGCACGCGGCACCCUCCCAGAGGCCUACCUUCAAGCAACUGGUGGAGGCGCUGGACAAGGUCCUGCUGGCCGUCUCUGAGGAGUACCUCGACCUCCGCCUGACCUUCGGACCCUAUUCCCCCUCUGGUGGGGACGCCAGCAGCACCUGCUCCUCCAGCGAUUCUGUCUUCAGCCACGACCCCCUGCCACUGGGAUCCAGCUCCUUCCCCUUCGGGUCUGGGGUGCAGACAUGAGCAAGGCUCAAGGCUGUGCAGACACAUAGGCUGGUGGCCUUGGGCCUUGGGGCUCAGCCACAGCCUGGCACAGUGCUUGACCUUGGCA